GUACAAAUAAAAUCUCGUAUAACAGAGCAAUAAAAUAUAAUCAUCGUCAUAACAAAAUAAAUAUCAGCAACUUAUAACUCUGUAAUUUUUUGAAAAUAGGAGUACUCACUGAAAAUCUAUCACAUAAAUUUUGUAUUCAUCUACAUAAUAAAAAUCAACCGAAAAUUCAAUAAUUUUACACAUUACUUUGAGUUAUCUAGUUCCGUGUCCUGUUGGUCUUGUGUAUACCUUGAAACCAUUUGUGCAAAAACGAACCUCAAUACAUUUUUUUUUUAUAAAACAGUAAACAUCAAAUACUUAACUAUCACUAUGAGACAUUAUGAUAAAAUUUUGAAAAAAAAAUCUAUUAUGAAAACUUAUCAGAAUUUUAAUAUUCUUAAAACAGAUAAUUAUUCAUGAAAAUUAGAAAUAAUAUAUAUAAUAUUGGUAUAUAAUAAUAUCUUUUAAUAUCUUGACUUAGAUUGAUUGAUUGGUGGUAUAUUUAACACCAUUUUAAACACAUUUGGCUAUAUGAUGGUGGCCAGUAUUUAUUGUUGUAGAUAGCCUGAGUACCUGAAAAGAACCAUUGCCAAUUGGAAAGAAAGCUUGCAAUCCUAGUCAAUAAAAUAUGAGUCAAGCCCAUCUCACAACAACUAAGAUUUAAAUCUCAAAACUAGAUGAACUUCUUGGACCAAUCUGCCACUGAGGCCCACAGCAAUGGGCCAUUCCAGUUAAUUUCUGAUGGGUAGGGAUGGAUGGGGAGAUUUUUUUUCAUACCUAUCAGAAAAAACCAUCAUGAAAAACUACCUAUCAGAUCUAUAAAUUAAGACCUAUCAGAUGUAGAGUUUCUGUUCAUAUUGGGUGGAUGGGCUUUCAUGGGAAAAAUUAACCUAUCAGAAUUUUUUACUGCAAGGAUUGUACCCAUCAGAAUUUUAAAUACAAUACCAGAUAAUGCAUGAUACGAAACUGUCUACAUUCCAAAGCACCCCUAAGAUCUGAAAUAGGUGUCUUUUUGUAACCCCUAAGAUGUAAUUAUUUUUAAUUAUUUACUGCUGCAAGACCCUCAGAAUUUUUUGGGUAUAAGUGUACGUGUCAGAUGAAAAAAUCCAAAAUUUCACCCCUAAGAUGUAUUUAUUUUACACCCCUCAGAAAGGAUCAUCCAUCCCCCUUUAGCAGAUAUUAACUGGAAUGGCCCA
rnacentral:lncRNA from 1 species